UUGAAAUUAAUUAUAAUAAUAAUAAUUAUUCGCGAAAUUAGAGCCAGUGUUUGUUCGUCGAUUGAAAUUUAAACGGGCGCGUCAAUAGUCUUAUAUUUUAUUUUUUUUUCUUUUUUAAAUAUUCGUUAUAUAUUCGGAUAUAUAUUUAGAGUCAGUGAAUCAAGAGAAUAAGGCGAUCAUCCAUCACUCGAAGAGAUGCUGAUGGUUUUGCCGUUUUUUCUUGGACUUAAAUCUUAACAAAUAUUUGUAACCGCGCGCAAUGCGGUUGGUAGAGUCAGUGUUUUCUUCGUAAUAGUAUUUUAAAUAUUUUUUAGAGCACAGCUGCUCUAAUUGAAAUUAAUUAUAAUAAUAAUAAUUAUUCGCGAAAUUAGAGCCAGUGUUUGUUCGCCGAUUGUAAUUUGAACGGUCGCAUUAAAAAUUUUUUUUUAUUUUUUUUUAUUUUUUUUUAAAUAUUCGUUUCGGAUACAUAUUAGAGUCAGUGAUUCAAGAUUAUAAGGCGAUCAUCCAUCACGUGAAGAGUUUCUUGAUGAGGACUUCCCAUGGGUGAACAUCGAUGGCAAUGCAGAUUCUUCGCAUCAAUGGUGAGUCGCAUGCAUUUUGUUUCCUCUGGUUACUCAAUCAUGUCGUAGGAUGAAAGAUCCAAAUCGACACGGGUAAAACUGGUUGUAUACGUAGAAUUUUGCACGAACACAGUGACCGCGGAUAUUUAUUAUCCGUGAAUAGUAACAUUUUCUUUUGUAUUUUAUUUAUUAGUUUAGGCUAGGUCUUCUUGUACAUCGCGUUUUUAAAUAUUAAUAAUUUUCUAAAACAAUUAAUUCUAAAAUUAAAUUAUUAC